GCCCCGAUAGACCAAUCGGCAGAGUCGAUGGCCUCAAAAUCCAUUCAGUGUGGGUUCGAAUCCCACUCGGGGCAC
rnacentral:tRNA from 6 species